GGAGCUCAGAGAAGGGUUUUGCAUCUUCCUCACUUCCUCUCUCUAGAGUUUUUCUCUCUCUACACUAGAAUCAAGGGUUUUGAUCUAUUUUCUUCUCCUUCUUCGAUGCCAAUUGUUUUGGGAGGCCAGGGGAUUGUUGUAAAAGGGUGAAGAAGGUACUUUGGGAAGGUUUUCACUGCUCCAUCACAGUAAGUAGCUAAGUGGAGACCUACUAAGCUAGUUAAGGAGAGCUCUAGAGGCUCUAGAAGCUGGAUUUGAUGUGGGUUUUGUAACCUGAAUCUAGAAAGAGAGUAAGACUAGAGUUUGGAAAGAGCUUGGAGGCCCCUGUUGUGUUGAACUACUUGAUAUUGUGAAUCAGGUUGAGGAGAUUUUGACCAGCAAGAAGCAGAGUUACAA